AAGAGAUAUCUUUGUUCUGACCGGAACAAAGAGCAUUCUCAUGGGCAACAAAAAAGAGGCCACCCACACAUACAACAAACGUGCAAAAUCACAUAUGAUUAUCCCCGCUGCACCAUAGCUCCUCUGGCUGAACCCUCCCGCCACUCACACCGCAUCGAUGUGGAGAAUACGUUCACACCAAAAUUGUCAGAAUCAUAAUUUUGAAUCAUAUCGGAGCUCAAAUGGUAGGAUAGCAAAUCGUAAAAUCUUAAGUAAUCAAAAUCAUAGAAUCUGAGUGGUUAGUUUGGAUCGUAACAUUAUAGAAUCAUACCAUAAAAUUGUGAUUUAGACAAACUUGGUUUAGACAAAAUGAACUCAAAAAGUGCAUUGUGGAGGCCGAAUUUUGUCAUUCAAUCUACACCGACCGGCGCACACUGUGACGCCCCCGACUCGACCAUACACUAAUCAUACACGCAAAUGUGUACGAUCAAGAUCAGGGACUCACGGAAGAUAUCACAACACAACUCUAGACACAAAUUAAAAUAAUACAAGCUUUAUAUCACAAGCCAGGGGCCUCGAGGGCUCGAAUACAUAAGCUCGAAAACACAAGAGUCAGCGGAAGCAACAAUAUCUGAGUACAGACAUAAGUUAGACAAAUUUGCCUUAAGAAGGCUAGCACAAAAGAAACAACGAUCGAAAAGGCAAGGCCUCCUGCCUGGAAGCCUCCUAACUACUCCUGGUCGUCGGCGGCCUCCACAUAGUAGUAGGCACCCUCAGUGUAGUAGCAAUCGUCGUCGAAGGUGGCAUCUAGAUCCUGGGCUCUACCAUCUGGUUGCGACAACCAGAAAGAAGAAAGAAGGGGGAAAAGGGGUAGCAAAGCUACCGUGAGUACUCAUCCAAAGUACUCACAGCAAGGAUCUACACUACAUAUGCAACAUUAUCAAAGAGGGGCUGUAUAUGUGGGCUGGACUGCUGAAAUGCCAGAAUAGAGAGAAGGCCUAGUCCUAUCGAAGACUAGCAUCUUCUGGAAACCACCAUCUUGCAGCAACAGGAGGGAGUAGAGUAGCAUAAAGUAAAGUAGUAAAAGUGUUAUCAACCUCGGCCAGCGAUCCUUUCUCGACUCCCUGCGAGAAAGCAAUCCCAGAGCCAUACUACGCUAUCAAGCCAGAAGCCCUCGGAUCAAAUAUUCAAAUCGUAGUGGAUUAGGAGCACACGGUAACAAGCAGAGACUCACGAAAGAUGUGACCCCGUUGCCCGUCUCGAGGACUCACGGCAAGGGCUAGGAAUGCCUGGCCACGCCUCGUAAUUAUCUUGCGGGCACCCUCCAGGUCAACCCGUCGCCACAUCACUCGCAAUUAAGCUCGCGCUGGUACCCCUCAGGGCCGACCCGUCUUUAGUAACAUGGUUCAAUGUAAAGUCAUAGUAACCAUAGUAACUGUGUGUCCAAACAUCAAGGGGAAAACCCGAGGAAUCACCCCCGGUGAAUUCCACUCGAUGUAAUCAUCAAGGUGAACGUAAGAGGAACCACCCCCGAGGUUCACACUUGAGGGGUUGCACGAUAGAGUCGUAUAGAGAGUGGUUAAGGCGGAAUCACCCUCGAUGACCACGACCGAAUAGCUACACUACAGGGUUAACAUCAGAAGUGAUGUAGAGGUCUCACCCUCGGCACUCGAUAGUAACCCAGUAGUGUCGAGCAACUAAGGGGAACGUGAUGUGCGGUGCCGGGGCCUGGUCUUCAAUCCCGUUGAUCGGGCCUUCGAUGAUGAAGCAGGGGCAACAAGGACAAGGUGGGGGUCACUGAUGGAUCACUAACCAACCUAUACUAAGCAGUUUAGGAUAAGCAGGUAGGUAACAAUAAGCAAGUUACAAAAGCAGGCUAUGCAUCAGAAUAGGUGCAAUCAAUUGCAAUGGGAAAAUCUAAUGCAAGCAUGAGAGAAUGGAAUGGGCAAUACCGGUAUGAUCAAGGAGGGGGGGGCUUGCCUGGUUGCUCAGGCAAGGAGGGGUCGUCGUCGACGUAGUCGAUCACAGGGGCAGCAUCGGUCUCGGGGUCUACCGGAGAGAAGAAGGGGAAGAAACAGUAAAUAUAAAGCAAACAUAGCAUCACAAAGCAUAAUGUGGCAAUAUCUUGUGCUGGAUGUGACCUAACAUAUGGCUACACGAUAAAGGUGAAGGGGGAACUCAACCGGGAAUGCUUUCCCGGUUCCGGACCUGUGUCAGACAGAUGACCGGAGGGGGAAUGUUCCAUGUUCAGCUAGUUAGAGGCAUCUAACAGGUAAACGGACCACGUAUCCAGAUUCGCCACGUUUUUCUGAGCAACUUUCAUGCAUAAAGUUUUUCGAUCCGAGCUACGGUUUAUUUUCUAUGAUUUUCUAGUCUAAAAUAAAUUUUAAAAUUAUUUUAAUUAUUUAAUUUCGAAUUAAAUUCAACAAAUGAUAAGUGUACACGGGAAUUCCUACCCAGUGUGUAAGACAAGUGGGGGCAGUGUACAGAGUUGACCCGGUCAACUUUGACCGGUCAAAGUUAACAGUACGAGGGGUCCCACAUGUCAGUGUCUUAAUAAUUUCUAAAGGAUUUAUCUAAUCUAGUUAGGUAGGACCCAUUUGUCAUUUGCUAAUAGGCUUAAUUAGCAUUAUAUUAAUACUACUAAACUAAACCUACUGCUACUAGUAAACAAGGGCCGGCUGUUCGUGCGAGAGACAGCCAUCGCUGUGCUCACACACGCACACAAGCACGGCGGCCAGAGCCGGCCGACGCUAGAAGGCAGGGGGCUGGGAGCAACGACCGGCGGCUAGCACAGGGAGCGGCGGCCGACGGCGAGCGGCACGCGGACACCGGCGGCAGCGGCGCAGCAGGCGGGAGCAGCGGCAGUCAGAGCAGCAGUGGCAAGGCAGCAGCACAAGCAGCGCAGCGGCACAACGGCGGCAUCAGUAUGGGCAGCUGAGCGAGCGGCGUGACGGGCGCCGUGCGGCCGGCGCAGCACGCCCAGGCGGACGCGGCCAGGGGAUGUCUUGGGCGCGUGGGCACGGCAGGGAGGAGCCCAGGUCGCGGCCUAGGCGCGGUGGGCGCGGCCAGAGGCGAGCAGGCACGCGGAGCUCCGGGCGAACUCAAGGGCGGCUGUUACGGCACAAAUUCUAAGGGGGAAGAAAGGGAAUUGGACGAGGGCCUCACUGCGGUUCUCGAUGACGUGCUCCGGAGGUCGGGGGAGCGCCGAGGAAGGAGAUCCGGGACGAGGAAGCGGCGACCGGACGCGGGGAAGACGCCCGAUGGCGAGCGCUCGGGGCCUCCUAGCUUGAUCCGAUGCUCGUAGUCGAAGCAGGGGAAGGUGGCGCAGCUUCUGGACGCCUUGGCGCGACGAGGGGAGGCCGGUGGGUGCGGGAUCGACGCAGGGGGCGGUGGUCGUCGGGGAAGAAGGCCGUGGUCGACGUCUUGGCGGCUCCUCGAUCCAAAUCAACAGGCUUAAACGACGUGGUCAACAUCGGGGAUCCUCCUGGAUGUAUCCUUGCGGCGCAGGUGGCUUCGGAGCACGUUGGGGAAGGUGGCGCGGCGAUGCAGCGCUCAGCUAUGCGCGAGGAAGAAGAAAGCGGCGCGAGAAGGGGGAGGAAAGGGGAUGCUAGGGUUCGGGGUUGGCGCGGGGUGGCUCAUGUAGGCGGCCAGGGGGGCCGGAUGGCCGCCACGCCCGCGACCACAGCCGGCGGAUGGCCGCCACGGUCACCCAGCCUCCCCUCUGUACAGUAUAGGGGUAGGGGACAGGCCUGUGGUGGGCUUGGGCUGCACUGUGCACUCGGGCUACAAGUGCACAGUAGUGUAGGCCUUUCUCUUUUUAUUUACUGUUUUGUAGUUUCUCCAAUGUUCUGUAAUUUAAUUUAAUACCAUUCAAUUUUUGUUAGACUUGAAACUUGUUACUUAAAUACCAGGCGGCAAGUUGAAUUAGCACACAAAGUCUCAUAUGGUUGGGAAACGCAUAAUUAUUUGUUUCAAAAGGAAAAGGUUCAAUUAAAAGCUCUUGGUCCUCUUUUGAACAUUUUAAGGCCAUUUUAACAUUUCAAGAAUGUUGGCUAACACAUGAAAAUUACCUAGUGAAUAUUUUCAAUAUUAUGAACACUUUUUCUUAUUAAUUUGAAGAAGUUUCACAUUUACCCACUAUUUGAAUUUUGAAUUGGAGUGGACAUUGGAUCAAGUGAAGAUUAGCAACAGUAACAUGAUGACAUGGCACCAUUAACAGGGGAUUACUGUAGCAUGACACUGGGGGUGUUAUAAAUCUCCUCCACUACAAAAAAUCUCGUCCCGAGAUUUAAGUGGGGAAGUAAAGAGUAACUUCAGGAGAACUGACCCUUAUAGGGUUAAUUAUCUGGUGAACGAUUCAGGGAAUGAGGCAGAAGUAUCUCUCGAGUUGGAACUUAAUAAAACAUCGAGAGAAUUAAAGUAGGCAUGAGAAUUUUCAAGCCAUAGGCAAAUGUUCGAUGCCUGAAACAGAGGGUGAGAGGGGCUCAGAGCAACGAAAUAAAUACCGCGUCUGACACCGGAAUAGAAUAAGUGAGGGAAGGUGGCUCAUAAAAUACAUACGAAGCCAAGUGUAAAGUAUACUUCAGAAUCAAGGUUUUACAAGAGAGUCAAGUUUCGAUCAUGUGGAACUUUGGGUUAUGGGCCCACCAUGUGGGUUAAAAGCAGGAAGGCGCUAUCAUUUUGCACGGUCAUGAUGGCAAGGCAGGUCAGAGGAUAGCUUGUCAAUUAUGUUGGCAACAACGUUGGUACCAAGGGCGAGGGACGAAGAGAACCAUUUUCCUGCUCGUAAGACGAGGGGGACCAAUAGGCAAAGUUCUCGUCCAUCGGUGGUUACCGGAAUGUCAUCAACAAUAGUAACAAGGUCUUACUGAUAGAGUUUGUACAUCGAGGUGUUUACGUAAGCAGGGAAUUAUCACUGCUCAGAUAUGUUAUGUUACAAGAAAGGUUAAACAAACCAAUGGAAAGGAAAAAUAUGAUUAUCGAAUCAAACAACCCAAAGGAAAGGGAGAUGUGUUCACACAUAAGAGUUGGGAGUAUAUCCUUCCCAAGGAAAAGCGGAGUAGGGUAUACAUGAUAUGACAGCAAGUUCAAAAGCAUUUAGAUAAAGGGGGCGAGGGAAGAAUCAUGAUAUUACCCACACAAUGGUGUUUGGAUAAUAGAUCAAGAAACAUUCGGCAAUGUGCUUCCAAUGUUCUUGUUGAUAUUCGGAAUACCAUAGUCAUGCUUCAAUGCGGCAAUGAUAUGAUCUCAACUAAAGAUUGGGUUCGAAGAUCUCAAGAGAUACCGAGAAACAAUUCCAAGAUAUCUCAGAACAUAAGAAAUAACCAAGCACAACCAGGUCUGUGUUGGCAGAAAGUCAAGAUGUCAUCAAUGAUAUCACAAAUCAUCGAGGGGCAGGGAUGGUAUUUCUAGCCAUGGAUUCAAUUGACAUCUCUGAAGAAGCCAAAGUGUAGACGGUGAUCACGACAGAUUUUGUCGAGAGACUCUAUGAAGAUGCCAUCGAGCAGAAAAUGAAGGAUGAAGUGAAAGGCUAUGAGAACCACGGAUUCGACACAAGCUCGAAGUCAAGCUUGUUGUUCGAGGUGAAAUGAUAAGAUGAGGAAGAUGGACGUAAGCUUAGCUCAUCGUCGAAAGUUGCUCCGGGCAUAAGGAUCAGGUAGCACAGUUAAAAGUUGACACGAUAAAAAUAUAGCCGAUCAGGCUAGGAAUGAUGUGAUGGGGUAUAAAACUUCCCAGUAUCAAGUACUAGGUGUAAUGACGGAAGGUAAAUCGGGGUAUAGGUUGGACGGGGGAAAUGAUUUGUAGAGGAUAAGUAUUUUAACUUACCCAGUAAAUGGAAUCAAGGAGGAAAUAUGGUCGGAACCACGAUUGCAAAGGAUCAAUUCAAACAUACAAGAUGAGCUUGUACCAAAGAAAUAAUUAUUUUUACGAGCAGCUUCCAUGAUAAGUUCUACAUCGGGUCCAUGGGCAUGAACACCAAGGUUCAGGGUCGACUCCCACUUCUUCAAUGCAUAACCUUUCAUUCACUCCUCGUUUUCGAAGAAAUUGUAGUGCAGAAGAUUAUCUGGCGAAGUACCAGAAGAGUAAGACUCGUGAGAACUCUCGGGUUCACACGGAUUAUGGAAGGCAUAAGUUCAACCCAUCGAGGCAUUUUUACGAAUAUAUACAACCAUCAACCAAGCAAAAGAUACGAGUUCGAAAGCAGAGUAUCGAAGUUAAAGCAGAUGAUACAAUUUACCGAAGGUAUUAUGUAUCAGGGAAAAACUCACAAGAUUUUGGAUGUGAAGGACACUGUCGGAUAACAACCCAGCAAUGGAUCUGGCGAUUCACGACAGAGUUGAUGUGAGUAUCGCUAAUCAAUCAGAUGAAGAGGGGGAUGCAAAGGCAUCAGCUUAUAGAAAAGUCUGAAUGAUUCGAUGCUUGGGUACAAAGGAAUUAUGAUUUCAAGACGAAGGAUCAGAAGCAGAGGCUCUGAUCAAAAGAUGAGUAAGUUGAAUAGACUUAAAGGUGCACCCGAUCAAAUCUGGAUUGGGCAAGAACCAACUCAUAUCUGGAAGGAUGUUUGAGCCGGAAAGAAAAUUUCCAAGGAUUAAUUGAUGAUUGCGAGUAUUCGCACACAUGCUGAAUCCAAAGGAACAUAAUGACAAUCACAAAGAAUUUUAAAGAAUAUUGCUAGACAUAUGGAAUUAAUCCUAAUGCAAGCAGGCAAGGAGAAUCAAGAGCAAUAGGCUGCAGAGGAUUUUGAAAGAUCAGAUAGCAUUUUCGGGUAUUUUGGAAACCAUGUGAACAACUGGGGACGAACGAACCCCGGUUAAGUGAAUUAUCCGCAGUGCGAAAAGAAGCUGCAAAGCAGAAGGCACAAGGAUUCUCAAAACAACGGAGAGUACUAGGGGUAUCUUGUAAUAAUAGGAGCAACUGGGGAUGAAGGUACACGCGGCAAGGAUGUUAUUCACGGGGAUUAUCGGUGGUCAGGAACUACAAGGCAGUUGGCACAGUGUCUCGAGAAGCAUCUAGGAGUAUCUGCAGAAUCUUCUGGCGAAGCAAGCGAUCAUUGAUAAUGUCAGGGCUCUCCGGGAGGAAGUGGGCACGAGAGCCUAAUGUCAGAGGUAGUAAAACGUUUAACCCGAAUAGACGAGAGAUCAGAGUCUCAGAGUAUAGGCGAGGAAUAAAAGAUCCUAAUACCACCCAAUGGCGACGUGGGCCCGUAAGACACACAUCCAUGUUAGUAAAAGUUUUUUUCAGUCACUAGACUCAACUUUGGCCAAGGAAUUGGAAAGGGGGCUACCUACAGGCAGUCAGCUCUGAUACCAACUUGUGACGCGCCUGACUCGACCGUACACUAAUCAUACACGCAAAUGUGUACGAUCAAGAUCAGGGACUCACGGAAGAUAUCACAACACAACUCUAGACACAAAUUAAAAUUAUACAAGCUUUAUAUUACAAGCCAAGAGCCUCAAGGGCUCGAAUACAUAAGCUCAAAAACACAAGAGUCAGCGGAAGCAACAAUAUCUGAGUACAUACAUAAGUUAGACAAGUUUGCCUUAAGAAGGCUAGCACAAAAGAAACAACGAUCGAAAAGGCAAGGCCUCCUGCCUGGGAGCCUCCUAACUACUCCUGGUCGUCGGUGGCCUCCACGUAGUAGUAGGCACCCUCAGUGUAGUAGCAGUCGUCGUCGAAGGUGGCGUCUAGAUCCUGGGCUCUACCAUCUGGUUGCGACAACCAGAAAGAAGAAAGAAGGGGGAAAAGGGGUAGCAAAGCAACCGUGAGUACUCAUCCAAAGUACUCGCAAGCAAGGAUCUACACUACAUAUGCAACAUUAUCAAAGAGUGGCUGUAUAUGUGGACUGGACUGCUGAAAUGCCAGAAUAGAGAGAAGGCCUAGUCCUAUCGAAGACUAGCAUCUUCUGGAAACCACCAUCUUGCAGCAACAGGAGGGAGUAGAGUAGGAUAAAGUAAAGUAGUAGAAGUGUUAUCAACCUCGGCCAGAGAUCCUUUCUCGACUCCCUACGAGAAAGCAAUCCCAGAGCCAUACUAUCCAUUUCUCAUAUCCAUGUAUCAUCUCAAGUAUCCAGUUCUAGUUGUAUCGAUCGGGAUACAACUCCGAGUGUCCGUUACCGUAGGACAGGCUAUCGAUAGAUGUUUUCUUUCCUGCAGGGGUGCACCAACUUACCCACCAUACUCGAUUAACUCCCGCCGGACACACUUUCCUGGGUCAUGCCCGGCCUCAGCCAAACAAUACGCCGCAACCCGACCUAGGCUUAAUAGAGAGGUCAGCACGCCGGACUAAACCUAUGCCCCCAGGGGUCAUGGGCCAUCUCCCCGGGAACUCCUGCACGUUGCGUACGCGGCCGGUGAGCAGACCUAGCUACCUCCUUUAAAAAGGCAGGUGCUUACCAGUCCAACCCGGCACGCGCCGCUCAGUCGCUGACGUCUAUUAAGCUUCGGCUGAUGCAUACGACGCAGAACGCCCAUACUAUGCCCACGUGAUGGUUAGUGCUAUCAGGACAGAGGCCCCUCGGAUCAAAUAUCCAAAUCGUAGUGGAUUAGGAGCACGCGGUAACAAGCAGAGACUCACGAAAGAUGUGACCCCGUUGCCCCAUCUCGAGGACUUGCGGCAAGGGCUAGGAAUGCCCGGCCACGCCUCGUAAUUAUCUCGCGGGCACCCUCGAGGUCAACCCGUCGCCACAUCACUCGCAAUUAAGCUCGCGCGGGUACCCCUCAGGGCUGACCCGUCUUUAGUAACAUGGUUCAGUGUAAAGUCAUAGUAACCAUAGUAACUGUGUGUCCAAACAUCAAGGGGAAAACCCGAGGAAUCACCCCCGGUGAAUUCCACUCGAUGUAAUCAUCAAGGUGA
rnacentral:lncRNA from 1 species